CCCUUAGAUGUUCUGGGCCGCACGCGCGCUACACCGACGAAUGCAACGAGCUUAUAACCUUGGCCGAAAGGUCUGGGUAAUCUCCAAAUUUCGUCGUGAUGGGGAUAGAUUAUUGCAAUUAUUAAUCUUCAACGAGGAAUGCCUAGUAAGCGCAAGUCAUCAGCUUGCGUUGAUUACGUCCCUGCCCUUUGUACACACCGCCCGUCGCUCCUACCGAUUGAAUGGUCCGGUGAAGCGCUCGGACCGCGGCCUCUUGACGGUUCGCUGUCGAUUGGCUGUGGGAAGUUCGUUAAACCUUAUCAUUUAGAGGAAGGAGAAGUCGUAACA
rnacentral:rRNA from 1 species